GCAAAGCCUUAAAUUAAACUUAAUUAAGCGUACAAAUCGAAAAACAAAAUUAAUCUAUAGAACAGUUGCACGAAAAAAGAAAAGUCAGCAGCGAUCAACAGAGUAAAAAUGAGAGAUUUCUUGAACUUCCAAUAACAGAAUAAAGAACCUCAGUUUCUCCAACACAAUAGAAGUAACAAAAUCUAGUUCAUUCUUCUGAUAAGCUCGUUUACAUAAUCUUCACGGUUUCCAGUGUCUUCUCCUUCAACAUGGUGAUUUCUCUUCUUCUUCAGACCACCCAAUGGCGCCUUCAGUUGGAAUGACCAGAUGAAGUUGUUGGUGGAGUAAAAUGAGGUCCGACAGUCAUGAUCUCGUGAACAAGAUCUUCCAUGCAGAUAAUCCCAUGUUUGCCAAGAACCUAAACACAAUCCAAGCUUAAGAGAAAAAAACUAUACAAAAUGCAUGGUAGAACAUUCAGACAAUUUGGUGGGCCAAAAUGUUGCAUUUUACAAAUUUGAAUAUGAAACUUCAGUUAUUGCAUCGGAAGGUCCAAAGAAUUAUUGAGAAGCAUGAUUUUUCUGAACGUUAUUUGAUGAGUUUUUUGAAUCUCUUUCUUCAUCACUGUUUUUGUCAUCAAAACCCGUGCCUUGGAAUGUUAGUCUAGAAUUUCGAUACUGGCUGCCAAAAGCAGUGCCAAAUCCCCAUCCAAGGCCUAACCCAACAACACAGUCACCACCAGCACUAAGACCCAAGAAGUUCAAAGACACGCCUGUAGACAGUAAGCAAUAGUGGUUAUGAGAAAAUUAGCAUGUAUGCGACAUAGGAACAUUAUAGUGCA
rnacentral:lncRNA from 1 species